ensembl:lncRNA
AGCGUCUUCCUUUAUAAAAUGAGUUGUAAUUUUUUAAGAGCGAGUAGAUGGACACAGUCAAAGUUGCAAUUGAUUUGAAAGGAAAUGGACAUUUUUGAGGAGAUGCCCGAGAGGGGAAAGACUUCAUUUUAAUCCCGUAUUCGCUUCACUGGUCUGGAACCUGAGCAGCUCUAUCGUCUAAGACCGAGAAGAAGGCGUCGUACUCCAUCCGCUUGGUGGGCAUCCAGUCCUCAAAUACUGAAGUUCAUGUCCUCCAACGGUCCCACCUCAAUGACGUCAGUGUUCGCGGUUCACCGCUUGAGUAACUGAAAGAUUUGGGUGCGUUACAUUUGACGAAGAAGUGCAAGAAGAGCGGCUCAAUGUCAGUAAACUUUAUUGAAUUAGUAAAUAUUACUAUGUCGGUAUAUGCUUAGCAAGCUAGCUAAUUGUUAGCUAAUGUGCACUUUUACACGCUAGCCGUUAGCUAACGAACUCUGUUUGCCUAUGGGUUUUCCCGGGUAGUUCUACGGUACCGCCUGUUAAUGCUUCAGGGAGCUGAUGAAUCUAAGAUGGAUACUUUUGACGAUGCCACUCUAUCGGUGUUGGAGGCUGCCAGUGUUGAUGAGGAGGCUUUGAAAGGCCUUAGCCGGGAUGACCUGAGGGAUCUUUUUCCUGGCCCAGAGAAUUUCCUCAAAAGAAAGAAACUUUGGAAUUUCAUCAGUGAAAAUUGUGAAAAUACCACGGACCAAGAUGCCAACAAUUGUGCCAUGCCACCAUGCCAGCCUCAAACCUCAACCCCCAUAUCUGUUGAGAAAAAAAUGAAAAUGCCAGACCCUCCAGAGUAUGUGGUGUACACAGAUUCAGAGUUAGACAUGGUGCGUAGUCAAUACUUUGCACUGCUCUGCAAUGGAAAGGAAAAAAAUUACAAACUGUCCAAGGAGCUAUGUUGCAGACUUGUAAGGAACACAAUAACCAGUAUGGUUGCUAUCCUGCGUGCUAGUCCCAUGGGGAAAGAAGUCAGUUACCCGUCAAAAUUGGAAAUAAGAGCCAUGUCACAGAAGAUUAUAGACUAUUACCCAAUGUUACGGGAUGAUGAUCCAAACAUGCCUUAUCUGACUAUCUACACCAAAAUGUACAAGCGACUCCAAAAUAUGAGAUCCCCACGGAAGAGGCAAGGCUCUGUACCACAAAGAGGAGUGGCAAAGACAGCUCUCUUCAGUGCAGACAACCAAGACAUGGAGACGGAUUGGACAGACACAAGCAACUCAAGUGAUAAUACCUUACUUCUUGAGAGCAAUGAUGACCUUACCGAGGACAACUCCAGUGAAGGUGUGCAAAUUGUUUGCAAAAAAUGAAGGGGUGCUGUUAGACUACUGUUUUUUUGUCUAAAAAUUGUCUAAUCAUGUAAUGAAACUAUAGUUGUCUGUAUUUGUCAAGCCAGAGUUUAUGGCUAGGCAUGCACUGUGUUUAUCUGCCGG